AGGUGGAAAUUUUGAUCAGGGUCAUCAUUGGGAACAGCACAGAACGUGUGCAAUGACAUUCCUUCCAUCAAAGAACAGGCAGUAGCCUGUCAAAUUUGAUACAUUUCUCAUCCUGCUGGCCAGACAUAGCCACUGCCUCCUGAUCUGUGAGGGUUCAUUAAAAAAAUCUGCGGCAUGCCUCUGGGAACAGUGCCUCUUCAGAUGUCAGCUAACACACUUAAAACAACAUCAACAAUCCAUGCUGCAGAAUCAAAGAGAGGAUGGGAACGAGAAUGAGGAGUGUGAAAAAUCUGUUCCAAACCCCACUGUGCUUCGAAACAGAACCUUUUGGGAAGUCUAAUUCCCGAGCAGUUUGUUAGGAAAAGGU